rnacentral:rRNA from 1 species
GACGAACGCUGGCGGCGUGCUUAACACAUGCAAGUCGAACGGAAAGGCCCUGCUUUUGUGGGGUGCUCGAGUGGCGAACGGGUGAGUAACACGUGUGUAACCUGCUCUUGAUUUUGGGAUAACUUCAGGAAAGUGGGGCUAAUACCGGAUAGGAGCCCCUGUCGCAUGGUGGGGGGUGGAAAGUUUCGGCGGUUGGGGAUGGACUCGCGGCUUAUGAGCUUGUUGGUGGGGUAGUGGUUUACCAAGGCUUUGACGGGUAGCCGGCCUGAGAGGGUGACCGGCCACAUUGGGACUAGGAUACGGCCCAGAGUCCAACGGGGGGCAGCGGUGGGGAAUAUGGCACAAUGGGCGGAAGCCUGAUGCAGCACCGCCGCGUGCGGGAUGACGGCCUUCGGGUUGUAAACCGCUUUCGCCUGUGACGAAGCGUGAGUGACGGUAAUGGGUAAAGAAGCACCGGCUAACUACGUG